CCCUUAGAUGAUUUGGGCUGCACGCGCGCUACACUGACCCUAACAAUGAGCAACUGUCUGGCCUGAGAUGGCUGGGUAGCCUUUUCAACCCAUGUCAUGAUUGGGCUAGAUUUUUGUAAGUCUUGAUCUCUAACGAGGAAUCCCUAGUAUGCGUGAAUCAUCAAUCCAUGCAGAUUAUGUCCCUGCCCUUUGUACACACCGCCCGUCGCACCUACCGAUUGAAUGUUUCGGUGAAGAUUCCGGAUAGGACUUUUUUGAUUUAUUUCAAUUUUGUCUUAAAAGCUAUCUAAACCUCAACAUUUAGAGGAAGGUGAAGUCGUAACA
rnacentral:rRNA from 1 species